GCCUGGGAACUACGAGCCAAGCUUAAAACCCAAAGGACUUGACGGUACCCCAUAUCCCCCUAGAGGAGCCUGUCCUAUAAUCGAUAACCCCCGUUCAACCUCACCAUUUCUAGCAACUCAGCCUGUAUACCUCCGUCGUCAGCUUACCACGUGAGCGCUAGUGAGCUCAAUGUUUUUUCAACUAAACGUCAGGUCAAGGUGCAACACAUGAGAUGGGAAGAGAUGGGCUACACUUUCUAGCAUAGACCACACGAAAGACUAACUAUGAAAUCUAGUCAGAAGGCGGAUUUAGAAGUAAAAAGUAACCAGAGAGU
rnacentral:rRNA from 1 species